rnacentral:rRNA from 1 species
GAUGGACGCUGGCGGCGUGCCUAAUACAUGCAAGUCGAGCGAACGGACGAGAAGCUUGCUUCUCUGAUGUUAGCGGCGGACGGGUGAGUAACACGUGGAUAACCUACCUAUAAGACUGGGAUAACUUCGGGAAUCCGGAGCUAAUACCGGAUAAUAUUUUGAACCGCAUGGUUCAAAAGUGAAAGACGGUCUUGCUGUCACUUAUAGAUGGAUCCGCGCUGCAUUAGCUAGUUGGUAAGGUAACGGCUUACCAAGGCAACGAUGCAUAGCCGACCUGAGAGGGUGAUCGGCCACACUGGAACUGAGACACGGUCCAGACUCCUACGGGAGGCAGCAGUAGGGAAUCUUCCGCAAUGGGCGAAAGCCUGACGGAGCAACGCCGCGUGAGUGAUGAAGGUCUUCGGAUCGUAAAACUCUGUUAUUAGGGAAGAACAUAUGUGUAAGUAACUGUGCACAUCUUGACGGUACCUAAUCAGAAAGCCACGGCUAACUACGUG